AUUUAAAUAGUUUAAAUUUAAAAUAAUAAGUUGUGGUCUUAUAGAUGUUUAUUUACUUUAAAUU
rnacentral:tRNA from 1 species